rnacentral:tRNA from 1 species
GCGGGAGUAGCUCAGAGGUAGAGCAUUACCUUGCCAAGGUAAGGGUCGAGGGUUCAAUUCCCUUCUCCCGCUCCA